UGUACACGUGUGUCCGUUGGAAGCAUGCAGUCGAUACAUAACCUAAAAUACACUGUGUAGAUUGAACGAAAAGUUUGUUAUACGAUAAGUUGUUUUUCGAUAAAAAAUCGAUUCUAACAGACAUGGCAGUUGAAGUAAUCACAAUGGAGGCUCUAUUAAACAGAGCUAAGUCACCGGUAACUUCCAGCACAGAAACUCCGGAAAAAGCUGCUAAAAUUGUCAAAGAACCCGAAGUUCCCAGAGGCAAACCCAAAUCCGGUAGAAUAUGGAAGGAAAAAAAGCAACGGUUCAAUUCUAUAAUAAAAACUCGUGGGAUUCGACUGUCGUUUGAGAAAAAACAAAAACUGCGGGAGGAUCUGAAGCGUGUGAAGGAGCAGUCGCGUGCAAUCAUUGAGGAACGAAAAGCACAAAAAGAAGCAAAGAAACAACGGAGGAUAGAGAAUUUGAAGCGAGCAGAAGAAAAUAGAAAAAAAAGUGAAGUUGUACAAGUGAUAAAAAAUACAGCCAAGAUCAAGAGAAUGAAGAAAAAACAACUGAGACUUCUGGAAAAACGAGAUACAAACGAUUUAUAAAAGAAAGAAAACAUUUAACCCUGACAGUAGACACGUUUUUUUUUUUUAGUUUGUAACGACUCAACAACUUUGUUCUUUUAAGCGGAAGAUUGAGUCAUCCUCAAUUUCCCUCUUUCACGUUUUAUUUGCUUCGCAACGAAGCAUUUGAGCAAUUGACGUAAAUCCGUGUUCACUUCACUUUGUUUCAUCCACUGAAACACAAAAACCAUAGAUUAUCAAGCUUUUCGUUCGUGACGCUCAAAACAAGAGAAAGAUUUUGGAUUCUCACCAUUGUUCGUACCCACGUUGGUAACAAAUUCACGUUCCGAGGCUCGCAGAAUCUAUGUAGAAAAAAAUAAAAAUUGAUAUAACUACUAAUUUAUAAUUCCCGUCUUGUUUGAUAUUCGAAAUCGAAAAUUGAAUUAUUUUGCUUUAUUUUUAUUUUUUACGAUUCUAAGGCAAUGGUUUCGAUUAUUUGGUUUUGUAAUUAAUAGAAAAUUCAGACACUCUGAUGAAUAUUGAGGUCUAGAAAAAGUGGGCGAAUGAAACGAGGUUUGGGAACUGGACGUACCGUUCGUCGAUCAAAAUAAUCGCUCCCCAGUCGUUCUGAUGCCUUAUGGCACGUCCGAGCGCUUGAUUCAGUGCUCUGAAAGCUUGAAUUGUAUACCAUUCGUUGCCUGACAAUAAACCCUUUUGACGAUUCUGA